rnacentral:rRNA from 1 species
GAUGAACGCUAGCGGCAGGCCUACUUUUUGCAAGUCGAACGGUGUACCAAUACACAGUGGCGCACGGGUGCGUAACACGUAUGCAACCUACCUAUCAUUGGGGGAUAGCCUUUGGAAACGGAAAUUAAUACCGCAUAAAACAGUAGCAUGGCAUCAUGCAGCUGUUAAAGCUUUGGCGAUGAUAGAUGGGCAUGCGUCCAAUUAGUUAGUUGGUGAGGUAACGGCUCACCAAGACAAUGAUUGGUAGGGGAUCUGAGAGGAUAAUCCCCCACACUGGCACUGAAAUACGGGCCAAACUCCUACGGGAGGCAGCAGUAGGGAAUAUUGGGCAAUGGACGGAAGUCUGACCCACCCAUGCCGCGUGCAGGAAAAAGGCGUUAUGCGUUGUAAACUGCUUUUUUAUAGGAAGAAGGAAACCUUGCGAGGUUUGGUGACGGUACUAUAAAAAUAAGCACCGGCUAACUCCGUG